rnacentral:rRNA from 1 species
UACGUAGGUGGCAAGCGUUGUUCGGAAUUAUUGGGCGUAAAGGGCGCGUAGGCGGACAGUUUAGUCAGAGGUGAAAGCCCAGGGCUCAACCUUGGAAUAGCCUUUGAUACUGGCUGUCUUGAGUUCGGGAGAGGUGAGUGGAAUUCCGAGUGUAGAGGUGAAAUUCGUAGAUAUUCGGAAGAACACCAGUGGCGAAGGCGGCUCACUGGACUGGUAUUGACGCUGAGGUGCGAAAGCGUGGGGAGCAAACAGGG